CUCUUAGUCAUUUGCUUCUCGUUCUUUCUGUUAUGAAGAGUGGACAUGUGGACUAUGUUGAAGAUACAAAUCUUACUUAUUCACGAAAGAGUCUGACAACCAGACACAAGGACCACCUCAACAAAACGUUGGACCGCAACCUCCUGUGAUCUACCUUGGGUUCCUUCGGGUGUGGCAGAUACGACCAAACCGGGACAUAAUCGACCGCCACAGAAUGGUUAUAUCCGGCAAACUGGACAGUCAUCCAGUCCAGUUAUCGAACAACAGUAUCAACGCUUAACAGCAAAAUGGAGCAGAAUAGCACAACGCUUUAGGAGACGUUUCCUUCUCAGUUUACCGAAAUGAAAGCACGAGACAUCCUACAGCUGUUACAAAAGUCAGAAUCAGUAGAGAUUCUCAUAUGGGGGAAGGACUUUCUAGAUAUACCAACGACUGUUAUAUGAACGGAUUAUAUUCGAGAUAAAUCAGAUUUGUCAUGACAAUAUAGAGUAUAGUAGCUUGGUGUUUUUUCAUUUCUAACUGUACACUUCAAAUAAUGGUUGAUGAUCGAUGUGCAUUGAUUCCAAGAAGUGCCUUUCGAUUGAUUCACAUACGGAUAUAUAUAUAGAGAGAGAGAUAAGAGAGCACAACAGUAAUCGUAUUCGAUAAAAAAAGGUUAUCAAGCGUAUCAUAUUCUCCUGGAAUUACAGCUUGAAACUGAACUUUAUAUGGUUAUACUUAUAGUAAUUGAUAAAGUUUAACUUGUCGUUAUUCUAAUUACAAUAUAUAAACGGUAAUACACUCAUUUUCUUAAACAAAUGUAAUCACAUAAACAUGGUCAUAAGAUUUAGAAAACAAAAAAAUGGCUUUUAUUCGUAAUGAUUCCUUUUUAUGCCUGUUGUUUCUAACUUUACUUUGGAGUCGUCUUAAUCCAGGUUCUUGUACAUAAACUUUAUAGAAUGUAUAUCAGUGUUUGUCACAACUACAUUAUUGACAAGUUUUGCGUAAACUUAUUUUGUAUGAUUCUACUUAAUAUGUAGACUAAGAUAUGUUUAAUUUCGGGUUAUUCUUAAAGAGAUAUAGUGACGGUAAAAUGGUUCGGUCCCUUCUGUUUACCAUAUAAGGGGAACAACCUAGAUUGUUUAAGGGUUGAUAAGAUAAUACCGAUGUUACUUAUGCAUGUAAAUACACACAGUUGUUUCAAUGUUUACUAUACAACCUCAAACGAUCCGUCUUAUUCCUUAUUAUUAAAUAAAACACUUAAGUGCCUAGUUUAUGAAUUUCUAUUUUUCUAAUAAAUAUAAAGAUGAUUUUCAGCUCAAAACAAGAUUGUGCUAUAAUCUCGUGGUCUUGCGCAACUUUUAUCAAUGGUAUGCGACGUCAUCACUGUUGGUGUUGUAUUUUUUUCUUUUCGGUUUGAAGGGAAGUGUAUACGAUAUAACCUUAAAAAAGUCUAACUUUGGGAGAACAGCCAAACUAUACGAAGGUAUGCAUAAUAUUACAUGCACGCAGACAUUUGUUGUUUUUUAAGAUUUUGUAUAUACAAACAUUAUUGCUAUGUUAUUAAAUAAUAUAACCAUCUAC
rnacentral:lncRNA from 1 species